CAUGGAGGGGCUCAGAUCCAGGGUAGAAGGAAUGGGUGACCCCAGCUGUGAUGUCCUGGUGCCUCUGGGGGACUCACCCUGGGUGAAGGGAUGGAGGACCCUGUUUGUGCUGUCCUUGUGCCCACAUGUGUGACCCACACCCAGGGCAGUGGGCAUGGGUGACCCCAGCUGUGGCACCCAAUGGGGCUCAGAUAUGGGGUGCAGGGGGGUGACAGCCACGGGGUUUGUCCCAGAUCAUCGUGUUCCUGUGCUACGGGGCCCGGCUGAACAAGUGGGUGCUGCAGACCUACCACCCCGAGUACAUGAAGAGCCCCCUGGUCUAUCACCCCGGGCACCGCGCCCGCGCCUGGCGCUUCCUCACCUACAUGUUCAUGCACGUGGGGCUGGAGCAGCUGGGGUUCAACGCCCUCCUGCAGCUGAUGAUCGGGGUGCCCCUGGAGAUGGUGCACGGCAUCCUGCGCAUCAGCUUCCUCUACCUGGCCGGGGUCCUGGCAGGCUCCCUCACCGUCUCCAUCACGGACAUGAGGGCGCCCCUGGUAGGGGGCUCGGGGGGGGUCUACGCCCUCUGCUCUGCUCACCUUGCCAACGUCGUCAUGGUCAGCCAGGGGACAAGGGGACACGGGGGGGACAGGGGGGAUGGCUUUGUAGGGUGGGCAGCAUGCUGGGGGAUGCAUGGGGUGACAAUGGG
rnacentral:lncRNA from 1 species